rnacentral:lncRNA from 1 species
AUUGUUCACUCAGAAUAUGGAAUCGAGAGCAGACGACUUUUCCUGCGAUCACGUUUCCGUAACGACGGUCCAGAAUGGAGCAUAAUCGGCCACUCUAGGCCAACGAUCUUCGACUGACUUCUUUAACGCAGGCGCAGGUCAGUUCCAGUUCUUCAAUCUCCAUCCGCGGUCUUCCGAUAUUCGCGGGUGUCAUCUUCAAAUCACAUCCUCUUUGUGAUCGUCUUCCGCAUCGGCUCCAGUUCCGCGUCAUCCCCAAUUCUCCACGAUUUGGCUACAUUCACGUUGUGCACAAUCCACGCCACGUCAUCUGUCCGCGCCGCAGCUUGCACAGUACGCAACGAUUCGGAUCAAUUCACCGCGUCAUCCGCAUCUGUCCACGCCGCGUCGUCGCUUCAUCGUAUCUAAACGGAACAAUUUUGUACACAACGAUUUCUGCUGAAGAGUUCCAUGUCGUUGUCCGCAAAUCGUCCACGAUUCUGAACUGGAAAUUUCGAAUCAAAGAUUACAGAUUUCAGCCAGAGUCUCGCAAAUCAUAUUCCGUUCUUCGCAAAUUCCAUAGACUCGCGAAUCAAGAUUUCAGAUUUCAACAAAUCGUCUUCCGUUCUUCAAAUUUCAGAGUUUCCGUCUGUUUCAGAUCUGCAAAUCAAGAUCUAUUCAUCGUUUGCAACAAAAUCCGGAAACUGGAGAAAUUGCAAGUGUUGGCUACUGUUCCGGAAAAAUUGCAACAAACAACACUCCGGUUCAUCCAAAUCAAAGAAUCAAGCAGAUUUCACAUCAUCACUAUUAAUUUUUUUUUAAAUAUGACAUGUAAUCUGUGAGUCAUAGAUAAUAACUGUAGGUCUGUGAGUUUUUUUUUGUUUUUCAUUUCCCG